rnacentral:rRNA from 1 species
UACGUAGGGUGCGAGCGUUAAUCGGAAUUACUGGGCGUAAAGCGUGCGCAGGCGGUUCGUUGUGUCUGCUGUGAAAGCCCCGGGCUCAACCUGGGAAUGGCAGUGGAAACUGGCGAGCUGGAGUGUGGCAGAGGGGGGUGGAAUUCCGCGUGUAGCAGUGAAAUGCGUAGAGAUGCGGAGGAACACCGAUGGCGAAGGCAGCCCCCUGGGCUGACACUGACGCUGAGGAGCGAAAGCAUGGGGAGCGAACAGG